GGCGGCGUGCUUAACACAUGCAAGUCGAACGUGAAAGGGGCUUCGGCCCUAAGUAAAGUGGCGCACGGGUGAGUAACACGUGGAUAAUCUGCCCUUAUGAUCGGGAUAACAGUCGGAAACGGCUGCUAAUACCGGAUACGCUCAAAAUGAACUUUUUGAGGAAAGGUGACCUCUGCUUGCAAGUUACUGCAUGAGGAUGAGUCCGCGGCCCAUUAGCUAGUUGGUAGGGUAACGGCCUACCAAGGCAACGAUGGGUAGCCGAUUUGAGAGGAUGAUCGGCCACACUGGGACUGAAACACGGCCCAGACUCCUACGGGAGGCAGCAGUGGGGAAUAUUGCGCAAUGGGCGAAAGCCUGACGCAGCGACGCCGCGUGAGGGAUGAAGGUUUUCGGAUCGUAAACCUCUGUCAGAAGGGAAGAAACCGCACCGUGCUAAUCAGCGGUGCAUUGACGGUACCUUCAAAGGAAGCACCGGCUAACUCCGUGCCAGCCGCCGC
rnacentral:rRNA from 1 species